rnacentral:tRNA from 1 species
GCGAGAGUGGCGAAACUGGCAUACGCACUGGAUUUAGGAUCCAGCGGAGCAAUCCUUGAGAGUUCAAGCCUCUCCUCUCGCACCA